UGUAUAUAUUUAUAAGCUUAAACAUAUCUUUGGAUAAAUUUUCAACAUUUUUAAUGGUUUUUUUAUCAAGUUUGAAAAAUGUAUUUUUUAAAAAGUGGUAUUUGAAAAGAGGUAUUUUUGAAAUGCUCACAUAAAUAUAUUGGAUGUAUUUUGCAAUUUUUACAAAAAAUAAACCCAAAUAAAACCAAACAUCUUUCAUUUAAUUCCAGCAUAAUUAAGGGACAAGUCCACCAAAAAGACGUUCCUCCACCUUAUUUAUUUAGUCACCAUGUUCCAUGGAUAAUGGAUUUAGGAUUAAGCUUUGAACUCUACUACUACUCUCAGAACUUAUAACUCUACUAUUAUCAUCAUCAAGCUCUGUUUUCUUUAUAUCCACCCCAUUUAGUUAUUUAAUGAACUAGAGUCAUAGUCACCCACUCACCUGUAACUUUAUGAGCCCUUCUUUUCAUCAUAUAUUCAUAUUCCACAUACUUACACACCUGCAUCCAUUGGAAAUGCCUGAUUUUAGAAAACCAUGAUUUGGAACACUAUGCAACUAGUAUUAGCUUCUUUUCUUGCAGCACACGACACAAUACUUUAUACCGACUUUAGUAUGUAAAAUUCGGAGGAAUGUUGUUUACAAAAGUGACAGAAUGUGGUAUGGUACGAACUU
rnacentral:lncRNA from 1 species